CAAAAGGAACUCCCUUGCAUGGG
rnacentral:piRNA from 1 species